AUGAGUGGGAGGUUUGGUUGUUGGCCUUUUUUUUUGUUAACUAAAAUACUACAUGUGUUAAUAUCUGUGUUGUUUGAAGUUCAAAUAUGUGAUGAAGUUAUCGUUUUUGGGUGGUUGUUGUUGUGGGGUCUCAUUCAAUACCCUAUUCCUGACAUUGGUGUGAUAAAUGUUAAUUAUUGGAAUUGGAAUCUAAAGGGUUCCCAUGUUGAAAGUGAAGUUUAG